GAUGAACGCUGACAGCAUGCUUAACACAUCAGCAAUUGAUUGGUGGCGGACGGGUGAGUAACGCGUAAAGAACUUGCCUCACAGGUAGGGACAACAUUUGGAAACGAAUGCUAAUACCUAAUCCUGUGAGAGAGCUUUGCGUCCCAUUAGCUCGUAGGAGAGGUAACGGCUCACCAAGGCGAUGAUGGGUAGCCGGCCUGAGAGGGUGAUCGGGCACAAAGUGACUGGGGCGCGACCCGUACGCCAACGGGAGGCAUGAGUGAGAGAUAUUGGAAGACGGGCCAAAGUCUGAUCCAGGACUUCUGGUUGCAAGAUAAAGUUUUCGGGAUGUAGGGUGCUUUCAGUAUAAAAGCGGUACCAGCAGAAGAAGUGACGGCUAAAUACGUGCCAGCAGCCGCGGUAAUAC
rnacentral:rRNA from 1 species